rnacentral:rRNA from 1 species
AACGAACGCUGGCGGCAUGCCUAACACAUGCAAGUCGAACGAGACCUUCGGGUCUAGUUGCGCACGGGUGCGUAACGCGUGGGAACCUGCCCUUAGGUUCGGAAUAACUCCCCGACAGGGGUGCUAAUACCGGAUAAUGUCUUCUGACCAAAGAUUUAUCGCCUUUGGAUGGGCCCGCGUUGGAUUAGCUUGUUGGUAUGGUAAAAGCCUACCACGGCGACGAUCCAUAGCUGGUCUGAGAGGAAGAUCAGCCACACUGGGACUGAGACACGGCGCAGACUACUACGGGAGGCAGCAGAGGGGAAUAUUGGACAACGGGGGAAAGGCUGAACGAGCAAUGGCGCGUGAGUGAUGAAGGCCUUAGGGUUGUGAAGCUCGUUUACCCGGGAUGAUAAUGACAGUACCGGGAGAAUAAGCUCCGGCUAACUCCGUG